rnacentral:lncRNA from 1 species
CCCCACCCUAUGUUCUAUGGAUAACAUGCGACCCAAGCCCAGCCAAUGAGAGCAUCAGCUCCCCAGGCUAUGCUGAUGCCUCGGGAAUGGGGCAUCUUGGCUCAGAAAGUGGCCUGCUGGGUGUUGAAGGCCAGCUCUUUUGUCAAUCCGGCAGAGUAGGAUUUUAGGCUAUUGCCUUCCUCAGUGUCUCAUGUUAGAUGUGGCUGCUCUUUGCUUGUCUGGUGAAAAAUGGCAGCUGAAAGGCAUCUGAUGGCCUCCUCCCUGGGUCACCGUGGAUGCUGGCCAGCCCACUGGGUGUGACCAUUCCUGUUGCUGUGCCCUCUCUGCUUGGACACAUGGCCCUUGCCUCACACCCACCAUUCCACGGUGAGGCACACUGUCACAUGACUGUGAGCCGCCCUCUGGCACAAGAUGCCCAGGGUUCAAAGCCCAGCUCCCAUGUGUGUCACUGAAGGAGCCACUUCCCUGUGCUGGGCCUCCCUUUGUCUGUAGGUGGGGAUGAUAACGCUUGUAUGCCACCAACCCCCCUGACAUGAAGCACUCCACAGAGUGCCUGGCUUCAGCUUCCAGCGGGCACUUAGUACAUGGCGGCUCUCAUUAGUGAGCUCCAUUUUGACUUCAGCUCCGUGAUAAGGAAGGACCCCACCUUGCACCAAAGUGGAUGGCAGACCUCAGGCUUGGCCAGAGCAUCCAAGGAAUGGGACUCACUGCCCACGAGGCCAAGGAUUAGCCCUGCAGAGACUCCUCACCUGUAAAAUCAAAGGGAAGAGGGAUGAAAUUCUGGCUACGGCAAGCACAGCCUAUCAGAGGGAGCUCCCUUAAAUCCCACUUCUUGCUUAACAGGGAAGCUGCGUGACCACAGUGUUGGAAAAUGGAAUCAGGCUACACGUGCUCUUGUGGGAAUCCCACGGCAGCGUCCCCAUGAGGAGGCAGGGGCCCACCAUCACCGGCUGCACCUCUGACCUUCGAUGACCUUGGGGGCCAGGUGUCACGGUCACCCUGCACACGUGGGUUCCCUCAGCUGCUCUCAGGAACAAGAGAAUGAACCUGUCACCUCCUCUCCCGCUUGAAGGACAGCACCAUUUAUUGUUUACUGUGGGCUGAGACAGCUGGGGAUUCCUCACUGCGAUGGAGCCGACAUGCAAUAUUGAGGCAAAGAUGGCAGGGAGGUGGGGGGCAGCGCAGAGGAGAAGAGGAGAGAGCCCUCCCACAGCAGGCCUCCCUCUGGGCAGGCUGAGCUUUGCCACUAGCAAGCCCCGCCGGUGCCGGGGAAGGGGAGAAGACACAGGACCUGGAGGGAGGCCUUGGUGAAUUGAGCCUUGGCUUUGCUGGGUGACCCAGGCUUGGUCCCUGGAUGCCUCUGAGCUGUUGCUGGAACGUGACCUCCCACCUCCCACGAUAGAAGAAAAGUGGUCUGGACAAAGGAGGCUGCAAUGGACUGAAUGUUGUAUUCCUCCCCAGUUCACAGGCUGAACCCCUAAUCCCAAGGUGAUGGGAUUUGGAGGCAGGACCUUUGGGAGGAAUUAGGUCAUGAGGGUGGAGCCCUUGUGAUGAGAUUAGUGCCCUGGUAAGAAGAGGCCAGAGAGCUGGCUAGCUCUUUUUCUGCCACGUGAAGAUAACGAGAAGGCAGCCACCUGUAAACUAGGAAGACAGCCCUCACCAGAACCUGACCUUGCUGGAACCUUGAUGUUGGACUUUCAAACCCCAGAGCUAUGAGAAAUAAAUGUCUG